AGUCGACUUCACGCUAGUUUAAGGAAAUAGCUGACGCUGAUAACCAUGUCCCAAGCACUGCUGUAAGUUCCCAAUGUGUCCGGAAUUGGUGGGUUCUUGGUCUCACUGACUUCAAGACUGAAGCCACGGACCCUCGCGACUGUGCUAAAAACAGCCUCAGGACCUUCAGCACUGAUCAACAAUCCUGGGCAUGGGCUGACCGACAGUUUUCACCCAGAGAGUGAAGAUCAUGGAGGAGCCAUCUUAAAUUCCGCCCAGCGCAGGCUUCCAGGAAUCCUAAUGUCACGAUCUCACUGCAGCCAAUGUGACAAACACAGAAGUAAUUAAGUCUAGAGAGCUAAACACACCUCAAAAAGAAUUGUCUCUUGGUAUGAGUGGAAUGGAAUAAAAUACAUGGAAACCCACAAAAGUUUCGAGGUGAACAUAUUAGCAAAAAUGCUGUAGCUAUCCAAACGACAGUUCAAAGUGUUAAAGGACUUCUAGACUCCCAAUCUUUCCAUCGGCAGAAAGCAGGCUUAGUAGCCCAAACUGGCGCAUUUUAAAAUGCCCUUUUCAGAAGUGUGAUGGAGAAAGAAGGAUGUGUCAAUGCAGGCCAGUGUGUGGGGACCAAUGGCAAACUGCAGCUCCUGAACUAAGAAACACUUUCAUAUCUUUAAAAAAGAAAAGGAGAAAUAGGAAUAUGUGAUAGAGACUGUAUGUGGCCCACAAAGCCUAACAUAUUUACUGUUUAGAUCUUUACAGAAAAUGUUUGCCAGCUCCUGUGCUGCUGAGCCACUUCCAGGUUGCAGAACCAAAGCCUUACAUUCCUUAGCUUUAAAGUAGAGGACCUGGCAAUGUUUACUCCACCGAGUUUCAAAAUAGCUAUGUGACUGCUAUUUCACCCCUUCAUUCUUCCCUUACCAAUGGGCCUUAUCCUGUCCCUGUCUCAUCACUGUAUGUUGGGUCUAAGUGGACAAUAACUUGUCUUUUCAAAAAGCGCAUAAGCUUCUAGACCAAUAAAAGCCAUAUUAGGACCUGAUGUGGCUCACAAGAUGCUAGACUUCUUGCUUGAGGCCAUGAUUGGAAGAAACUAGGAAGGGGGUCCUUAGAUGGGGGUGGGCAAAUUUUACAUGAAUAAUGGAGGCAGUGGGCACAGAUCGUGGUAGGUAGUAUAAAUGACCCCAAUUCCCCACCCCUUCCUGCAUCCAUGUUCUUUGCCUCAUGUCUUGCUUUGGCCAAUGAGAAGUUCACAGAGAGGACACAAGCACAGGUUUGAAAGAGGCUUUCGCGGUUGGACUCGCUUUCCUCUGCGUCUCUGCCUUCGCUAUGAGAAGAACAGGCACCGGUCUUGGGAAGAUGGUGAGAGAAACACAGAACCAAGCUGCUCUAGACAGGCCUAGCCUAGACCAGGUGGCCCACAGACCAUUACUGAACCCAGCCUGGAUCAUCCAACUCCCAGCCAAACUGCAGACCAUGAGGAAUGUUUAUUGUUGUCACGGAGAUUUAGGGUGGCUCAUGCAGCAAAAGCCAGUUGAUGCCCGUAGGUGGGAUUAUAAUCCCGGAUACAUUAAAAUGCCAAUCUCUUCUUUUCCCCAUGUCUUCAUUUGCUCACUCUCAGGUGAAGGGAUCUUGCUCAGAGGCCCAGACGUUCUGGAUUUUCUCUUUAGAAACUGUGGCUUGAAGAAUCCUCUUCAGGAAACAAUAUUUACUCCUUUUGUAUCUCCAAAACCCCUCCUCACCCCUUUUGCAACCCAAACCCAAGUGUCUUCUGUGUCCUAUUUUUCUUCUUUUGAGACAGAGUCUUGCUCUGCUGCCCAGGCUGGAAUGCAGUGGUGCGAUCACGGCUCACUGCAGCCUCGACCUCCCUGGCUCAGGUGAUCCUCGCAACUCAGCCUCCCGAGUAGCUGGGACUACAGACACAUACCACAAUACCUGGCUAAUUUUUUUGUAUUUUUUUGUAGAGGUGUGGUUUCACCAUGUUGCCCAGGUUGGUCUUGAACUGAGCUCAAGCAAUCUGCCUGCCUCGGCCUCCCAAAGUGCUGGGAUUACAGGUGUGAGCCACUGCGCCUGGCCAGCUUGUACAUUUUACAAUCAAGAUUACAAGACUACUGCCAGCUGUAGGCCACAUCAGGCUCUGAGAAGAGGGGAUGUGGACAGAGGUAACCGGGACAAAAGGAAAAAAAAGUCUUUAAUUUCACCUUUUCUGAUGCCAUUUAGUUCAUGCCGAUCAUCUGUAAUUCACAUCUGUGAACUUUCAGCCCGUUUGGGAGAAGUCUUCCCUCAAGUGCUUAAUUAUGGCACAGGAUGGUCUCUUUUACACAAACGACUGUGCAAAGACAUAGAAAGUGGAAUUUAUUUCUAUCAGAAUUAAUUCAGAAAAUCUGGGUAAGUUCCACACUCCAUUUAACACUCAUUACACAUAAUAACUGGUCAGACCACAUUGUGUAUUACUUAACCCACAUUACAUGAAUAGUCUAGGAAUAAUAAAAGAAUUUACUAUUUAUCUGAAAAAA